CAGUCCUGUCUUUGAAGAUCUGUAAGGACCAGACCCUCCUGGAGUUUAUCAGAGAACUCUCUUAAAAUAAUACUACUUUUUUUCUUUGAUCAACAUCCCCAUCCCCAAAUGUUUGUUUGUUUUUUAAACUUUACUUUUCACUUCAACAGUCUGAUCUCCCAUCCUCAAUGAUUUUGAUGCCUGCUAGCUGUCCUUAGUCUAGAAAGCCUAAUGUGCCUUUUUAACUUGUUCUCCUUUAGUUUCCAGAAACACUUGCUGUUUGCGCUAUCCGUAUUCAUUGUAUCUAGUUGGAGAUUAAGCAGAUGUGUCUGCACCACUAAGAAUAUCUGUUGAUUUCAUUAUAGAAAAGAGACAGCAGCAGUCAGUGACAUUGCUGAUUGAAAAUCCCUGCACUGAUGAGAAGACUGCUUUGAGGUGGAUUACAUGCUUGGCAAACAAAACCUGAGCUUCUCAUAACCAUUUGACUUGGUUAAUCAUUUCAUUAGGUAUUUUGGAAUCAGGAAUCAGGAAACAGGUAUCAGGAACUUAAGGAAUCCACUCCAAUUACUCUAGGACAACUCUUGAGCCACAAAAAAACCCAGCUUUUUUGGUUCCACAAAGCUUUGAGAAUUCUUCAAAAUGUGGGCUAUUUUAGUGAUUGUAAGAAGUACAUUUGUGGUUGAAGGCAAUGGAACCAUAUUUAAAACUAGUCCUGUAUCUUUAGUCCUAACUUAACAACUCAAAGAUGUCUUAAAAUGUAAUAAACUCAUGACUAAAUUACUGAGUGUUUUUUUUUACUUUUGCCAGACUUGCUUUUGAAGUAUACUCUUUCAGCAAACAAUUAGGUCUCUUGCUUUUAGGUAGAACUGAUACCAUAGCUGCAAAGCAGGCCUGUUAAUGAAAAUGCUUUCACAGAGCUUUGUUGCCUCUACAAUCUACUAGGAGGAAGAAAGCUGUGAAAAUCUUCUCAAGUAAUGGGAUUGGUAGACUGACAAAAUAUAAGAAGGAAUUCUUAUGGAAAAAGCUACAUUUCUCUAUGCAUUUGUCUCUUUUAAAAAAUUGAGUUAUUUUCUGAGCACUGAGUUAUGUUCUUUGACUAUCUUUGGUUGUUUGCUUUGGUUGAAGUAUUUGUGAUGUCUCCAUGCUCAGAUAACACUGUUAGUGCAGAGCAUAAUGGGAAAUCUCAUCCCUCCUUAAGCUUAAAAUGCAAACUGUAAUACCUUUGAGGCAAUUCUUCAAAUAAAUUUAUAACACAGUGUGAAAUCCA